UACGUAGGGUGCGGGCGUUAAUCGGAAUUACUGGGCGUAAAGCGUGCGCAGGCGGUUUUGUAAGCCAGAUGUGAAAGCCCCGGGCUUAACCUGGGAAUGGCAUUUGGGACUGCAAGGCUUGAGUGCGGCAGAGGAGACUGGAAUUCCUGGUGUAGCAGUGAAAUGCGUAGAUAUCAGGAGGAAUACCGAUGGCGAAGGCAGGUCUCUGGGCUGACACUGACGCUCAUGCACGAAAGCGUGGGGAGCAAACAGG
rnacentral:rRNA from 1 species